rnacentral:rRNA from 4 species
GUUGGUGUUUUUAACGGUGAGGGUCCACCCGUUCCCAUUCCGAACACGGAAGUUAAGCUCACCAGUGCCGACAAUACUUGUCUGGAGACGGACCGGGAAGAUAGGUCAAUGCCAACA